AGACGUCUACAUUUAGAUACCCGGGUAGUCCCAGCCGUAAACUAUGCUCGCUAGGUGUCAGGCAUGGCGCGACCGUGUCUGGUGCCGCAGGGAAGCCGUGAAGCGAGCCACCUGGGAAGUACGGCCGCAAGGCUGAAACUUAAAGGAAUUGGCGGGGGAGCACAACAACGGGUGGAGCCUGCGGUUUAAUUGGACUCAACGCCGGACAACUCACCGGGGACGACAGCAAUAUGUAGGCCAGGCUGAAGACCUUGCCUGAAUCGCUG
rnacentral:rRNA from 1 species